GAGUUUGAUCCUGGCUCAGGAUGAACGCUAGCGGCAGGCCUAACACAUGCAAGUCGAGGGGUAUUAGUUUUCGGACUAAGAGACCGGCGCACGGGUGCGUAACGCGUAUGCAAUCUACCUUUUACAGGGGAAUAGCCCAGAGAAAUUUGGAUUAAUGCCCCAUGGUAUUAUAUAUUGGCAUCAAUAUAUGAUUAAAGUUCCAACGGUAAAAGAUGAGCAUGCGUCCCAUUAGUUAGUUGGUAAGGUAACGGCUUACCAAGACGAUGAUGGGUAGGGGUCCUGAGAGGGAGAUCCCCCACACUGGUACUGAGACACGGACCAGACUCCUACGGGAGGCAGCAGUGAGGAAUAUUGGACAAUGGGCGCAAGCCUGAUCCAGCCAUGCCGCGUGCAGGAAGACGGUCCUAUGGAUUGUAAACUGCUUUUAUACAGGAAGAAACACUCCUUCGUGAAGGAGCUUGACGGUACUGUAGGAAUAAGGAUCGGCUAACUCCGUGCCAGCAGCCGCGGUAAUACGGAGGAUCCAAGCGUUAUCCGGAAUCAUUGGGUUUAAAGGGUCCGUAGGCGGUUUAGUAAGUCAGUGGUGAAAUCUGGUCGCUCAACGAUCAAACGGCCAUUGAUACUGUUAAACUUGAAUUAUAAGGAAGUAACUAGAAUAUGUAGUGUAGCGGUGAAAUGCUUAGAUAUUACAUGGAAUACCAAU
rnacentral:rRNA from 1 species